ensembl:lncRNA
AAUGGAGCUUUGAGAACAUAAAAUCCGCUGUCAGUGCCCUCCUUCCCUUGUGGACCCUAAGCCACCCUCAAACGCUUCCAAGAGUUGUCACUCCACCGCUUAGCUGGGCAGGGUAGAAGAGGCUGGAUCCCACCUCAAUACAGCCUUCUUUCAGAUCUACUGCUGUACUCAGCCUGGAGGACAAGGAAGGAAAAUGAAAAUAAGGUAUUUCCUCCUGCCAGAUUGCUUCUCUGAGGAGAAAAAAACAAAGGUGCACAUAAUGAUCUUGCUCCUGACACAGAUCUUUUGCCACACAGGAAGCCUGUGAGGAAGAUUCCAGGUGCUUCAAGGAUUCUUCAUAGGCACCCUUAAGCUCUACAUUUUCAAUUGUGUACAGUCCUUCUGUGAAUUUACUUCAACCUGCAGCUCUUUGCCCGUUUUUUGCCAUUCCUUUAGCAUCUUACCAAAGGCUCUGUGCCUCUUGUCCAGAGCAGCACAAGCAGCAUUGGCUUGGAAAAAUAAAGCCAAGCAUUUACUGGACACAAGUUUUCUUCACACUUCACUUCUCUGCAUGUCCUGCCAGCCAGUCACAGUUAAAUUGGCAGCCAUUCUAAAGGCUGGCAGCGUUUCUCUUGGUCACUCUGAAUGGAUGAUUAAAAUGUUUAUGAGGCUGUCUUUCCUCACCAUUAGGAAUUUAACAAGAUCACCCCGUUCCCAUCAGUGUGAUAGUUGUCUUUGCUCCUGUGGUUAUAAUGAUGCUGCUGUGGAGCAAAUGUUUUCCACUUCAGAUGUUCCUUGUGCAGAUGUGCUGCUGGUAAUUGCCUGGGUUGAUCAGUGUGACUUUUGCUAUCUUAAAGCAGAUUCAGUUACAAACAAGAUGUUAUUCAAGACUAUUUUAGACUUGUCAUGAAAGGAAAGAAUAAAGGUACAUUUUUCUUUCCUAGGAGCUUUUAAUCACAAAUAUUCUACAUAUCCUUAUGAUCCACACAUGUGUUCAGAUACCAUGGUGACAAGCACACCACAGGAACCAUAGAAUAAAGAGCUGCUUCAUUAAAGAAAGGGAUGGGGAAACAGAUUUUUUCAGCCCAGUAAUGCAAUGCUGUAUGUGGGAUUUUCGGCUCUUGGGAUCUGUUCUAAAGCAAACUGCAGGCAUUGGCAGGUACCCAAGGACUUCAGUGGAUUUGGAGCAGCCUUUGUGACUAUUUUAAGUAACAUUUUUAUUCAAAUAUCCUACAGUUGCACUACUAUUCAUGCUCUUACACUAACACGAGCAAGAGUAGAAAUAUUAAUUUAAUUAAGGUGCUGGUGUUUAAACUCUGUUGUUUAGGUCUGCUUUGAGUUUGGUAGUUAAUAACCAGUGGCCAACCCACCAGUAUUGCAACACUGAAAAGUUCAAAGCAGGAUAUCAUUAUCCUUUAAAGGAAGAUGAAUACUUUGCCUUGCAGUAAAGGAAGGCUUUUGCUUUAGCUGUACUCUUCUUUCUGGAAGUCAGCUAAUGAGCUUAUGAGAAGCAUGCUGUGUGCUCCCAGGAAUUAGCUGUGUCUCUCAUCUGGGUUUCCUCUUGAUGUGAGAAGUCUUAGCCUUGUUUCUCAUGGUCAUACAGAUUGCUUGACGUUUAAUAGAGAGACCUUAAGAAAUAAGGGACUGGAUCAAAGCUGACUUGAGUUAACAGAAAGACUCCCAGAGCCUCUGGUACCAGGUGUUGGAUCUUGGUGAUCAGGCUGAGUACAUUCCUGGCUAGCUGGAUUUCUGGCCUUGUCAAGUCAACAGUGAGGUCCUCCACUUCAUUCUGAAGCCUCUGCUUAGUUUUCUCCAUGUUGGCAGCCCAGGCUUGGACUGAUCCCACUGUCUCCUCUGCUUUCAAAGCCUCAUGGCCAACUUUUUCCUGAAGGAAAGAUGGCAGAAAUAUCCUGGUGAGUAGUUCAUGGAUUUGAAGAGUGAUGGAAUCAGCAACCCUCUACUGAACACCAUCACUGUUUUCACUAGAGAAAAGAUGGUAACUUGGCAGCAGUCUCAGGAAACAGAUUGUAAAAACUUUGGUGUUUGCUUUAUCCUUAGGAAAUUAUAGUGGCUUUUGUAGGGCUAAUGGAGGAGUAAAGUCCUGUUGAAAUUAAAAAAGGCUACCCAAAUUCAAGCUUUAAUCAUAAAGGUUUGUUUUCUGUUGUCAGUGUACCAAUGUUAGGUCUCAGUAGUCUCUGUUAUUGCAAGUAUUAUUUUUCUUCUCUUGGCUGGAGCCCUUUGCUUUCUCUCUCUUACCAAAUUACAUCCCAACAGCUCACAUCCAUAAGCUGUGACUCAGCAGCCAAGCUAAAUAAUGAGGCUGCCCUAAGCCCCAGCCUCCCUGAAAGCUGAGAGCUCACUUAGUUUCCUACAGCUUUUGCUUCUAUCAAAGGCAUCAAUCCUCUAUUUGGUCCUCCAGAUUUCAGUGUUGAGUUUAGAGAGCUGAACUGCAGCUUUGUUUUUCUCCUCUCCCUCCAGCUGCUCUUUCAUCAGGUCCAAAUCCUGCUUGGUGUUGUUUGGGCUCCCACCGCAGGCAUGCAGGACUCAAGGUAGCAGAAGUUCCACUUGAACUGCUCAGUCCUGGACCAUUUAGAAACACCUCAGCCUUCAAAAUAUCUUCCUGUUCAGGAGCUAAGGUUUUAUUUUUCUCCUUACCUGUUUUUUGCUGUAUUGCAGUGAAUUGAAUUGAGCUCAUACAACUGAAAACAGAACCUGGCAUGUCACCAUCACUUUUCUCUCAGUGUUUCAAAGAAUUAUGACAGUAAACCCAUUUGGUGAUUGUUCUGAACACAGAAUCCUUGCCAGACUGGUGAUAUACAGGUGCGGCGCUAGAAUUACUCUUUGGAGAUAAGCAGACAUUUCCAACACACAGGUGUCAGACAGGAAGAUUAAAUGUUGAUAUAUUUUCAGCCAGACUUUUGUGAUCUCUGCAAAUAAACUGCUGCACAAUCCACCGAAUGGACAGUGGACUGAUAAUCAGGAGGCUCUCUGUGUUCUGCUCUGCUGCCAGCUUAUGAGAGACUCCACAUCUUAUUUCCGUAUCCAUACAAGGUUUAUGUCCCCCACAUCCCCUCCCAGACCAGCUGGUGACAAGCCCAGACAUUAACUUGAAUAAGAAAGUUCUUUGUGAGGGCUAACACAACAGAUUUGUUACUCUGAAGUGGACAACGUUCAGAGGAGCAGGCAGUGCAUGGCCCAUGACAGCAGCAGCCCCUGCAGGUAGCUGGUGUUCCCCAGCACCUUGGACUCCUCAUCCAGCUGUCUCCUCAAGUCAUCUGCAUACAAGAUCUUUAGUAGACAGUCUGGGUUCUGUAGCUCCCAGCUCAGCUGGCUGGUUUUGUCUGUGCAACAACUGUAUAAAGAAGCAGGAGAGGAACUAAUCCAAUGUGACUGGAGUGAGAGAGAAGGAUUGGGCAGAUCUGUGAGAGGAGACAGGGAAGGGCUGCCAGAGCUGGAUGGAAUAGAGGGGAAGAGAAGGAUCUGAGGGAGGUAACAUUGCACAAAGCUGUCAAAAAUUUACCUUGGAGCCUGAUGGCUUUAUUUUCAGCUUGGCUCUCCCCCACCGCAGCCAGCUGGGCAUUGGCCUCAGCCAGGUUAUCUUCCAGCCAGUGCACAUGAGCAUGGGAGUUCAGCUGGAAGAGAGAGGUCAGUCAUAUGAUGCUGAGUAAGGCUUCAAGGGCCAAGAUAUCCUCCCUCCCUGGCAAACUCAGUUUAUUCCAGUUGGUGAUUGCACUGGGAUGACUGCAGUAGCCUGGGGGAGUGCAGAGUGUCCUGACCUUUGUGAGGGGGAUGCCUGCUCCAUCAGCCAGGAUGGGCAGUGUUCAACAUCAGCUGCCAACAGCUGCUUCUGGCAUCAGCAGCUCCCACUGGAGAGCAGGAUUCUGCUUUGCACUCAUGGCUGCAUUGGUUUGGUGAGGAAUUCCCUGCUGGUCUCUCCCUCAGGAUUUCUGCAGAGAUUCCAUGCUUACACUGAGCUUACCCAUCUCUGCCUUCAUGAGCUGUUUGUCCAUCUCCAGCUUUGCUUUCACUCUGGGGCAUCUCCAUGAGCUCUGCUGUCGCAGCCACGGCAACUGUGUUCUUCCUGUGGCCCUGCCCUGCCUGAACUGACCUUGCUGCUUUCUGUGCACUGGACAAGCUCCUCUAUCUGUUUUCCCUCUUGCAAGGUGUCUUGACAACAUGGACCUAUCUCCUGAUAUGGAUGAGAAUUAAUCAGCUCACAUUUCUAAAGUGAAUUGAAAUUGAAAUGUUCCUUAUUAUUGAUGCUAUCGAUUUUUAUUAGUCAUUAGAACAUGUUCAGAGCAUUCUAUUCAAAUAUAGCCUCAGCUUCCAGGUCUUCUUCCAGCUCUUCACUGUCUGGAGUGACUGGAGUACACAUACGAGCACAGCAGUGUCUGUGAGCAGGAGAUGUGAGAGAAAUUUGUGGGAAUAUGAACAAGAAUCUUAAUUUCUUCACUCCCUUCUCUUUAUGUUAGCUCAACUGGAUUUUAUUUCUUGGGAGAGAUCUAUGGCUGGGAAUACUGAGCCAAGAAAGCAGGAAUGUCUGGCCAGGUGUCUCAGCAGACAGCUGAUGUUAUCUGCAGCAUGACUGGCUUCCUGUAUGAUGUUGGAAUUUGGCCUUCAGGAAUAUAAUCAAGCUGUUUUGGUUGCUUGAGGGAAAUAGAGUCUUGUUCGUAGAAAUAGCUGCAAUUUAGGUCUGUGUGUCAUGUUUUUGUUGAAAUGCUGAGUGUUUAGUUAAAUAUUUGAACAUUGAAAUACUUGGAUGAAAUAAAUAUUUGAAUUCAGAAUGGUAACACCGC